UACGGAGGGUGCGAGCGUUGUCCGGAAUUACUGGGCGUAAAGGGCGCGUAGGUGGCGCGGGAAGUCAACGGUGAAAGUUCAGGGCUCAACCCUGAAUCGGCCGUCGAUACUCCCGGGCUCGAGCACUGUAGAGGCAGGUGGAAUUCCGGGUGUAGCGGUGGAAUGCGUAGAGAUCCGGAAGAACACCGGUGGUGAAGGCGGCCUGCUGGGCAGUUGCUGACACUGAUGCGCGACAGCGUGGGGAGCAAACAGG
rnacentral:rRNA from 1 species